AAUGCCCUGCUGUGCUCGUGAUGCCGCAGAGAUUACGGUUCUGAGCCAACACCCAUAAAAAGGGACCCGAACUCACGGUAGGAACGCGAUAGGCUGGAGCCAAGGCGGGAAUACCGGGUAGGGACCCAACCUGCGCAAGCGGGUUCAGAACUGCGCUGCACACGGCACGAGCGGGGUCUUU
rnacentral:other from 1 species